rnacentral:sRNA from 1 species
AUGUGCCACGCGUACAUUCCGGAUCCUGUGCGUCGUGCGCACCCACCUGACGACUGCUCGCUACGUGUCGGUAGCC